CCCCGAUCUCUGCAGCCCAGCGCUGGAGGGAUGGGCGUGUCUCUCAAAGCUCAGAAGGGUGUGGGGGGCCGGGUUGGGGCGGGGGUCCGGUGGGUUUACAAGGCGUGACUCAGGUCAGCAAGCCUCUGGAAAGAGGAUCAAUCUCGGGACCCAGCUGUGGGGAGACGUCAGCUCCAUGCCUUGGCAGUGGAGCAGGGCUGGGUGUCCACCUGGUGGGCGCCCUUCCCAAUGGGGCUUGCCCCUAAACCAAGGAGUUGGGCAGGGCCGAGCCUUGAGAGAUUGGCCAGCGCAGCAGUUCUGGCCUGGGGUAGCCCUGCAGGAGCUCCUUGGCACCUUGUUUCUGGCCCUGAGAGGGCAAGGGUGGUAUUUGGGAGCAGUAGCAAAUGUACCGAGAGGCGUGAUGGCUGCGUCCUUGAGGAGCCCGCCGUUAGCAGGGACGUCAUUCAUUCACCCAUUCAGCAGAUGGUUCUGGACGGUCUCCUAUGCUCUGUUCUGGGCGCUGGCGAUCCAUCAAAGAAGAAAACGGAGUCUCUGCCUUCUAGACAAGUCAGUGGACACCGUGACCCCAGAGGGAAGUGCUGUGAGAGAGGGAUGUGCACAGAGGAGUGUCCCCCUGACCGUCAGGAGGCGUCAGAAGAGGCUUCUCAGAGGGCAAGUCCAGCGGGGCCUGAGCUCAGGAGGUUACCAGUCAGAGCGCGGGGAGGAGCAUUCCGGGGCAUGGGCCCGGCCGUGGCACUGUGAGGACAUCGUCCAGUGGAUUUGAGCUGAGGGACUGCGGGGGCAGGGGAAGGGAGAGGAGGCAGGAAAGACAGGCUGGGCCCCGCCCACUUGUGAAAAGCUUGGACUUCAUCCUGGAGACAAAGGAGUCAAGUCGCAGAGUCGUCAGAAGAGAGGGACUUUCCGCCCUGAGGCCCGGUUCAGACUGCCCAGGGAGGGUCCCUCCCUCCCACUCUGUCCCUGCCUCUGCCCUGAGGCGGGGGGCUCUGGCUCCACAUCCCAGGCGUUGGUGCAGAUGCUGCCACUCCAUCCACCCUCUGGAAGAGGAGGCAGGGCCUGGCCCGGCUGCAGCCACGUUGGCAGGGUCACUGCCCCAGUCCCUGGCCUGUCGCUCUGGCUCACCCCCACCCGCUCACUGCCCGUCCUCUAGCCUCCUCCUCUUCUGCUUCCCGGUUCCCUGGGUGAACUCUUCCGGGUCAGGCUUCUCUCCGCAGGCCUCUGCUGCUCCCCAGGGAGGAAGACCAGCUGCAGUUUUAGCCCCUUGCCCAUUGCCUGGCUGAGAGAGGGUUAAGGGCUACUUGUUGAAUUCCGAAGCCUGGAGGGUUCCGGAACAGCAGCCUGGGCAGCAGCAAUGAGCCCCUUAACCUGACCUCAAGAACUUGCUGGAUGGAGCAUUGCAGAGAGAAAGCAGCAGACAGCCUGGUGGUUGCCGGCCUCGCCUCCCUUCCCAGUUGUCGGGAGGAGCCAUGGAGAACACCAUGAAGACGAAGGGCGAACUGGACCUCACGUGCCCCGGACGCCUCUCGGCUGGACUCCUGGAUGGAGAAGCAGGCAAGCAGAGGCUCAGAGAGGUUAAGGGGCUUGCCCAAGGUCACACAGCCCAGGGAAAGGGCAGAGUGGAGCUGCACCCAGUUCCAUCCAUUUCAGUCUCCUCUCCUGCCAUUCUGCCUUUCUCAUCUUCAGCCUGACCCGAUCUGCAGACAAACAGUUGCGGAGGGUCCGGCGGGGCCGGGCUCAGGGAGCGGAGGGCUGACGUUCUGAGCUCGAAGGCCGCACCGUCCAAAACGGCCGCCAGGAACCACACACGGCUCUUUAAGUUUAAUUAAAAUGAAAUAAAAUUAAAAAUUUAGUUCGUUGGUCUCACUUGUCACAUUUUAAGUGCUCGAUGUCCACAUGUGGCUCGAUAUCCACAUGUUGGAUAACACAGAUAUAGGACGUUUCUGGCACCGCAGGCAGUUCCACUGGGCAGCAUUGUUCUAAGCCAUCAGCGAGUCUGCCCCGUCUCCUCCUGACCGUCCUGGUGGAGGGGGAGUCGCUGACACAGGUGACAGACACGCCUGCUCUGAGGCAGCUCCCUCUGCAGCCGAGGCACCUGUGAUGCCAUCCUGCCACUCUACUCACCAACCGAGGCCUCGCUACUCCAGGUGUGGUCCAGGACCGCAGCAUCAGCAGCUCCCGGCAGCUUGUUAGAGACACAGGAUCUUGGGCUUCAUGCCAGACCCACUGAACGUGAACCUGCACUUUAACGAGAUCCCCAGGUGACUCAGGUGCACAUUUCAAGUUUGAGAAGCUCUGACUUAAGAGACAGACUGAGCGGGAUCAAAAUAUUGCCCCAGAUAUAGGAAACCAAACCGAUAUUUUUAGAUACAAAAAAUCAGCAUCAGCACCCCUCUCCCCGCAGGAGUGUGUGAUUCAGCUUCAGUCGCAGUCGGUUGAGCAUCUCUGUGCCACGUGAUCAAUGAGCAUAUUUCC
ensembl:lncRNA